rnacentral:hammerhead_ribozyme from 1 species
AUCCAGCUGACGAAUCUCGAAUAAGAUGAACGUGCGUCCUGGAU